GCUUACGGCCACACCACCCUGAACACGCCCGAUCUCGUCUGAUCUCGGAAGCUAAGCAGGGUCGGGCCUGGUCAGUACUUGGAUGGGAGACCGCCUGGGAAUACCAGGUGCUGUAAGCUUUU
rnacentral:rRNA from 1 species